UGCCAGACUCCUACGGGAGGCAGCAGUGGGGAAUAUUGCACAAUGGGGGGAACCCUGAUGCAGCGACGCCGCGUGAGUGAAGAAGUAUUUCGGUAUGUAAAGCUCUAUCAGCAGGGAAGAUAAUGACGGUACCUGACUAAGAAGCCCCGGCUAACUACGUGCCAGCAGCCGCGGUAAUACGUAGGGGGCAAGCGUUAUCCGGAUUUACUGGGUGUAAAGGGUGCGUAGGUGGCAGGGCAAGUCAGAUGUGAAAGCCCAGGGCCCAACCCCGGUACUGCAUUUGAAACUGUCCGGCUGGAGUGCAGGAGAGGUAAGCGGAAUUCCUAGUGUAGCGGUGAAAUGCGUAGAUAUUAGGAGGAACACCAGUGGCGAAGGCGGCUUACUGGACUGUAACUGACACUGAGGCACGAAAGCGUGGGGAGCAAACAGGAUUAGAUACCCUGGUA
rnacentral:rRNA from 1 species